rnacentral:rRNA from 1 species
ACGUAGGGAGCAAGCGUUGUCCGGAAUUACUGGGCGUAAAGGGUGCGUAGGUGGCCAUGUAAGUCAGAUGUGAAAGACCGGGGCUUAACCCCGGGGUUGCAUUUGAAACUGUGUGGCUUGAGUACAGGAGAGGGAAGUGGAAUUCCUAGUGUAGCGGUGAAAUGCGUAGAUAUUAGGAGGAACACCAGUGGCGAAGGCGACUUUCUGGACUGUAACUGACACUGAGGCACGAAAGCGUGGGGAGCAAACAG